UAUAGAAUGUUGAUGGGACUAUCUCCGUUCACAAUCAUAUCGGUUAAUGGGUGAGAGAGCUUUGCGAGAUAAGAUGUAAUAAGAACGAACUAAUUUUAAUUCUCGAGGCCGUAAACACCAAUAUAAAAGAUCACUACACAAUCGGCAAUGUUUGUUUUCCUUUAUUUACACCUGGUGGCAGCGUGUUCAUACGUGGUGUGCCAACAACCGCCUGGAUACAUGAGAGACCAAUAUGACACAACCCACACCUCAACAUUCGGUAUAUUCCAUAACUUGCCCGAGAUAUUCAACGUUCUGCAAGAUGUUCCAGAACUGAUGGACAUCCCUCAGGUGCAAGAGCUGCACGAGAAGAUGAAGAACAACCAGUUGGUCCAGUGGCCCAGGGAGACCGCAGAGGGCGCCCCUGAUCGUCGCCCUUUCAUCGUCAUCGAAGGGCAUCAAGGGAUCCGGAAAGUCAGCGACGGCCCGUCUGUUCACCCAGAAGCUGAAUGGUACCUACCUGCGCAGUCCACCCGACUACCUGGCAGGUAUCCGUGGUCUCAUGUCCAUGAAGCCACGACUGGUGCGAAGCGCUUAUCACAGCCUUAACAACUACCUGAUGGCUGAGCUGGUUAAGUCCAUCGUAAAGACUCGUCUAGUCGUCAUGGAUCAGUAUUGGCACGGUCUAACAGCAUUUGCCCUGGCCAAGUUGGCCGGUAUCCGCCAGAACCUACCCAUCCCCGGUUCUCCCAUCUACAACUUCCCUACAGACCUGCUGGUGCCGGACCUGUCCUUCUACAUCGCAGCCAAUG
rnacentral:misc_RNA from 1 species